CUGUCUUUUGAAAGUCUCUUGAACUUCGGACCUGGGGGAAGCCAGCUGCCGAGUGAGAAGUCUGACUAUCCGGAGAUGGCGGUCAGAUGUACGUGAUGGUUACCAUUAUAACUACAUACUAUGAAAGAUUAAUCAGUGGAAAAAAACAAGUUAAAGACACACAAAAAACUUCAGAGAAUCAACUUCUGGUCAAAAAAGCCCUCCUUUAGCCAACUCUAAACCUCAUUCAACCAAUAUUCUCUAUAGUCUUAGAAAGCAUUCAGAAGACAUAAUAUUUUUUAAGGACUUCAAGCAGCAAAUGGCAGAAGUGACAAGAAUUGAAAAUAGAGGAAAAUUUUGUUUUGUUUAAAGAAUUCUAAUUUUAAUAAUGGGAAGUAUGCAUCCAUAUUUAUGCCAGAUUCAUAUAUAUGAAAUAUAUAUAUAUAUAUAUAUAUAUAUAUUUCAUGUAAAUGUACUUUUGCUAAUGAAAUAGGAAUUCAGGACAAUAAGAAGGUCUAGAGGAAGCACCCUUUAUGAGUAAUUGGUUUCAAUGUUCGUAUUCUUGAUCUAAACAAUAAAAAAUCAAAACUGCA
rnacentral:lncRNA from 1 species